ACGCACGCUGGCGGCAUGCCUAACACAUGCAAGUCGCACGAGACCUUCGGGUCUAGUGGCGCACGGGUGCGUAACGCGUGGGAACCUGCCCUUAGGUUCGGAAUAACUCCCCGAAAGGGGUGCUAAUACCGGAUAAUGUCUUCGGACCAAAGAUUUAUCGCCUUUGGAUGGGCCCGCGUUGGAUUAGCUAGUUGGUAGGGUAAAAGCCUACCAAGGCGACGAUCCAUAGCUGGUCUGAGAGGAUGAUCAGCCACACUGGGACUGAGACACGGCCCAGACUCCUACGGGAGGCAGCAGUGGGGAAUAUUGGACAAUGGGCGAAAGCCUGAUCCAGCAAUGCCGCGUGAGUGAUGAAGGCCUUAGGGUUGUAAAGCUCUUUUACCCGGGAUGAUAAUGACAGUACCGGGAGAAUAAGCUCCGGCUAACUCCGU
rnacentral:rRNA from 1 species